UGACAUAGUGAGCAUUGAGUUGAAUGUCUGUGAUACCCAACCGAGCUGCCUUGGAGGUGGGAAUAAUGAGUUUAUCUUUCAGGAAGACUAGAUAAUCUUGCCUCAAGUUACUGUGCACUAAGAGCUCUUAUUGAUUCAUGUAAAUCACCUGUUGAUUUAUCAAGUGAGCAUGCUAUACGCAUGGUUGCUUUAUUUGACAAUGAAGAGGAUCAAUUCAGGGUGCUGGUGCUCCAACUAUGUUUCAGGCUAUGAGACGCAUAAUUAGUUGCUUAGCUGAAAAGUACGUUGGUGAAGGUUCCUUUGAGCGUGCAAUACGCCAAUCAUUCC